GGGCCUGUAGCUCAGCCUGGUAGAGCGCCUGCCUCUUAAGCAGGACGUCGCGAGUUCGAAUCUCGUCGGGCCCA
rnacentral:tRNA from 1 species